UGGGGAAUUGAGCCCUGGAGGGGGGGGCCUCAGUUUAUCUUUAGCCUGCAGCUGGGGUCUUGUGGUCACAUAGUCGAAGGGGUCUCACGGUCGGGUGGUCACAUAGACUUGAGAAACUGGCACCAGCAGAGAAAAACAGGAUAUCGCCUUAAAGAAGAAACAGGAUGCCCACCAGGGCCAGGUGGCCGCUGUGACUUCAUCCCUUGUUUGUCGGGUCGCCACAAUGGGCCACAUUUUAACUAUAGCUAUGAGCCCCUCGUGAACCCUAACAGUACAGAACCCCUCUCAGGAUCUGAACCUCUUUCACCAGGAAGCACCCAGUGGCGCUCAGCUGAGAAGCACAAGGAUACUCAACCUCCCUGGGACUAUCUGGGCCACCGUCGGAACCUCCCCACCCAGGAAGGCCCCGCCCCACGUGCGUCUCUAUGGUUAC
rnacentral:lncRNA from 1 species